GCCGGGUGUGGUGGCUCACACCUGUAAUCCCAGCACUUUGGGAGGCUGAGGCGGGUGGAUCACCUGAAGUCAGGAGUUUGAGACCAGCCUGGCCAACAUGGUGAAACCCCGUCUCUA
rnacentral:SRP_RNA from 1 species